GUAAAAUCAGACUAUCGGCCAGAAAGUGAAAUUCCUCUCUUCCUUUGAACUGGAAAAGACUCUGUUGCUGCCCAGGCUGGAGUUGAAUGGACAGGAGAGAGUUACAGUAUUAUUCACUGGUCACUGACCUAAGGACCUGGAAGCAAUAUAUUCUGAGAGAAGGGUAUCUGGACAGCGUUUCAACCUUCGGCUAU